CAAACACCAAUCAGAGUAACAAUUGGAGGGCAAGUCUGGGCCAGCAGCCGCGGUAAUUCCAGCUCCAAUAGCGUAUAUUAAAGUUGUUGCAGUUAAAAAGCUCGUAGUUGGAUAUCUGCUGGAAGCAGCCAGUCCGCCCUUUGUGGGUGUGCACUUGGUGAAUUCUGGCAUCCUCCUGAUGGUGUCAUCAUCACUUCAUUGUGUUGGUGGCAGCUGUCAGGACCGUUACUUUGAGAAAAUUAGAGUGUUUCAAGCAGGCUUGUUGCCUUGAAUACUGCAGCAUGGAAUAACAAGAUAGGAUUUCGGUUCUAUUUUGUUGGUUUCUAGGACUGAAGUAAUGAUUAAUAGGGACAGUUGGGGGCAUUCGUAUUUAACUGUCAGAGGUGAAAUUCUUAGAUUUGUUAAAGACGAA
rnacentral:rRNA from 1 species